AUUGAACGCUGGCGGCAGGCCUAACACAUGCAAGUCGAACGAGUGGCGGACGGGUGAGUAAUGUCUGGGAAACUGCCCGAUGGAGGGGGAUAACUACUGGAAACGGUAGCUAAUACCGCAUACCAUCGGAUGUGCCCAGAUGGGAUUAGCUAGUAGGUGGGGUAACGGCUCACCUAGGCGACGAUCCCUAGCUGGUCUGCGAGGAUGACCAGCAACACUGGAACUGAGACACGGUCCAGACGCCUACGGGAGUCAGCAGUGGUGAAGAUUGCACAAUGGGCGCAAGCCUGAUGCAGCCAUGCCGCGGGUAUGAAGAAGGCCUUCGGGUUGUAAAGUACUUUCAGCGGGGAGGCGUUACCCGCAGAAGAAGCACGGGCUAACUACGUGCCAGCAGCCGCGGUAAUUC
rnacentral:rRNA from 1 species